rnacentral:rRNA from 1 species
AGAGUUUGAUCCUGGCUCAGAACGAACGCUGGCGGCAUGCCUAACACAUGCAAGUCGAACGAGACCUUCGGGUCUAGUGGCGCACGGGUGCGUAACGCGUGGGAAUCUGCCCUGGGGUGCGGAAUAACUCGGAGAAAUCCGUGCUAAUACCGCAUAAUGUCUUCGGACCAAAGAUUUAUCGCCCUGGGAUGAGCCCGCGUAGGAUUAGCUAGUUGGUGGGGUAAAGGCCUACCAAGGCGACGAUCCUUAGCUGGUCUGAGAGGAUGAUCAGCCACACUGGGACUGAGACACGGCCCAGACUCCUACGGGAGGCAGCAAUGGGAAUAUUGGACAAUGGGCGAAAGCCUGAUCCAGCAAUGCCGCGUGAGUGAUGAAGGCCCUAGGGUUGUAAAGCUCUUUACCCGGGAUGAUAAUGACAGUACCGGGAGAAUAAGCUCCGGCUAACUCCGUG